UAUUUGUGAAUAAAAGAAAAAGAAGAUAAGGUGCAAAAAAUCCUAGGUGAAAACAAUUGGUUGAUCCAUUCAGCUACAAUAAACAAAAGAAAAAAAGUCGACUCGCCACUUUAUGAUAGUACCAUCAAGGUAAAUUUAUAAUCAACGAACGAGAGGGGGACCAACAACAACACAUCAGUAGUAUCCAACACAACAUCACACACACCAGCAACAAGAAUGUGGAGCCCCACACACAUUAAAGUGACAAUACGAGCCGCCCGAGGUCUGCUAUGUAAGGGCAAAAAUAAUACCAACAACUGUUUUGUCACCAUAGCCUUGGGAAAAGAAAAAUAUCAGACUUCUGUAAAGGAAAAAGCCGAGAGCAAUGUAAGCUGGAACGAAGAAUGUGAACUGAAAAUUCCAGAUCAAGGCAACAGAGCUGAAUUGGUUUUAACAUGUCUGCAUCGCAACAACUUGGCCAUCGAUGAAUUCCUGGGCCAAGUUACUCUGCCCCUCAAUGAGAUGGAUGCCUAUGAUCGUGUGCGGGCGAAAUGGUAUAAAUUGGAAAGCAAACCGGGUAAAGAGAAAAAGAACAAAGAUCGCGGUGAAUUGGACGUUUUGAUAUCGUUCACCGUCAAAUCGGGUUCCCUGACCGAUUUGAGUAAGAAAGAGAAACACAAGUCUUCCAUAGGUCAAUUGGCAUCGUCCGUGGGUGGGAGUUUACUGUCAAUUGGCACAAUAGAAAAACGCAAAGGUAUCAAGAAAAUUGCCAAAAAAUUCGGUUCCAAACUGCACUUGCCUGGAAGCAAAAAGAAGAAUCAGGAGGACGAUAAUCUUUCAUAUACGGGCUCGUUUGCCAGCAUUGGCACUCCAAACCGCAUUCGGGUGCAGGACAGUGAUGAGGAAGAUGAUUUCCAAUUUGAUAAAUUAUCACAGAAGAGUUCGGUUAGUUCUCUCAAUUUACGCGACAGUCUUCACACACCAUCGACAAAUUAUGCGCCAAAAAAUCCUUCGCCUCUAAUGGGUUCCACCGGUAAAGGUAAGGACCAUCUAAGAUACGAUGGAUCAGACAACCUCAGUGUGGAUCCGGAAUUGGAGGAAAUUGAAAAUGAAAUUAGUAUUAGAGCCCGUACUUUACCGCCUCCAUCGAAACCUCCACGCACGCCUCAAAUGGAUACAGGUGGUGACAUUAGGCUAAAUGGCAGACACAACAACGAGCUGGAUGAAUGGGAAUCAAAGUUGUAUGGCCGCAGUGCGGACAGUGGAAAUUCCGAUUCGUUGAAACGCAGGUCUUGGGAACCGGUGGCUGUUCCCCUUUCAUCGUCGAUUGUUGAUGAGGAGACCACUACUGUAGAAGAGCCAGAAACCAUAAGCAAAUCUGUACUUCCCCCCCUAAGGGAGGCCAAUACUCCGGAAACUCUAAGUGACAGUUCGUCAAGCAGUGAUUCUGAGCCAGAAGAGCCUACCCAACUACCUGAACCCCCCAAAAAAGUGGAGCUUGAGGUUUUCCCCGAAGUUAACUCUCAAACUCCCAAAAAACCUACAGAUCUCUUGCUUACCCCUUCGAUUAAUGCCAAUGGUCAUGGUAAUAGAAAGGAUUCUUUGCUGUCACCCGAUGAAGAGAAGAAUGAGUUUGCCAAAUUUAAUGCUACUUUUGCAAAAUUCGAACAAAAACAUGGUGCUAAGGUCUUUGAUAUCGAAGAGGAGACGAACAAUUUCCUAAAGAGCGAGUCAAGAGCCUCAACCAAGUCCCAAUCGCCCCCACAGCCUAAACCCAGGCCCAGAAAUGCAGCCUCUCUAGAAAAAGAGGAGAAAUUGAAAUCUGAGGAAGAGGAGAGACAGCGUCUUCAACGGGCGGCCGAAGAUGCUAAGCUUGAGGCUGAACUACGAGCCAACGAAGAACGCUUGCGCAAUGAGGAGCAAGCUCUGCAAAAGGAAUUGGCCGAGCGUGAAGAAGAAAAAAGACGCGAGGCCAAGCGCCGUGAGGAAGAUCUAAGGAUACUGAAUUUCUCCAAACGUCUGGUGUCCCAAGAAGACCAGGAACAGCCAGCAGUGGUGCCUGAAAUAAAACCUACAGAACAAAAGGAGGAGAAGAAAGACGUGGCCAGAGAACGUCCCGUGUUGAGCUUCAACCACCGAGAAAAACCACAACCUGUAAGUACAGUGUCUACACCUAGUCCAAAAACCAAUGAACGUAUUAUCAUCGGUCAUGAAAAGUCUUCUACGCAGGCGGAGAGACGUGCCGAAAUUUCAGCAGCUUUAGCCAAAAAAUAUGAGGGCAAAUCGCGAGAGGAACUUAUGCUAAUUGCCAAUGGCAUGGAGAAUGAAGCUUUGCUGCAGCGGCAACGUGUAAAAGAACUAGAAGACUAUCUGGAUAACUUGCUAUUAAGGGUGAUGGAAACUCAGCCAAAAUUAUUGCAAAAUCCCUAUUCACGUACCACAUCGGCCAAAAGUUUUAAAAAUUACAUCAAUAUGAACGAUUUUUUGUAAGAAAAUGAGAAAAAACUAAGAUGCACGCUUAAAAAUUACAUACUCGUACAACAACAACAGCUACUACCAUUUCUCUGAAUAUGCAUGUGAACAGAGAAUUCGAAGCUCUCGCAAUAUAAAAAAGGCACAAUGGUUGAAAGUGUUUCCCUUUUUGCCUUUCUUUCAAAGAAGUCCAUCCAUCUAAUGUAGAAACUAAUGUUGGUUUUUUAUGAUAUUUACCAUGGAAAACAUCACAACAAUGUGAGUAGCAAUUAAAACUUAAUUGCGACUCAGACAUCACCACAAGUUGCCUUCGAAGUGCAAAAAAAGAAAAACUGAAAAAACCUAAAGUGCUUUUUUGUAAAUUUGUUGAGAUCUUUGAUAUUUACAUAGAUACAGUUACAUAACUACCAUGAUUUAUAAAAAUAUUAAAAUAAUUAUUAUAUACUUAUACACAUAAAAUUCUACUAAAACUUACUUAUAUAUGAAAAAAUUAUACAUUAUACAAAUUGAAGAUUUUAUUGAAAUUACAUUUUAUAUUUUAACAAAUCCUCAUGUCGUCCCUUAUAGCCUUUAAAAAGGAACCAUAGAACACAACAUCAUUUACUGUUGUAUUUUAUUUUUCCCAUAAAGUAUUUGAUGAACAUUUUGAUUUAAAAGAUCACAAAUUACAAAGGCAAAACAACCCAUGAGUACGGGAG